rnacentral:rRNA from 1 species
CGUAGGCUCCAAGCGUUGUCCGGAUUUAUUGGGCGUAAAGAGCUCGUAGGCGGUUCAGCAAGUCGGGUGUGAAAACUCUGGGCUCAACCCAGAGCCUGCACCCGAAACUGCUGUGACUAGAGUUCGGUAGGGGAGUGGGGAAUUCCUAGUGUAGCGGUGAAAUGCGCAGAUAUUAGGAGGAACACCGAUGGCGAAGGCACCACUCUGGGCCGAAACUGACGCUGAGGAGCGAAAGCGUGGGUAGCAAACAGGAUUAGAUACCCUGGUAGUCCACGCCGUAAACGAUGGGCACUAGGUGUGGGUCUCUAACCAACGAGAUCCGCGCCGUCGCUAACGCAUUAAGUGCCCCGCCUGGGGAGUACGGUCGCAAGACUAAAACUCAAAGGAAUUGACGGGGGCCCGCACAAGCAGCGGAGCGUGUUGCUUAAUUCGAUGCUACGCGAAGAACCUUACCUAGGUUAAAUCAUUGGGAAGAGCCACAGAGAUGUGGUGUCCUUCGGGGCUCAAUGAAGGUGGUGCAUGGCUGUCGUCAGCUCGUGUCGUGAGAUGUUGGGUUAAGUCCCGCAACGAGCGCAACCCUUAUUCUAUGUUGCCAGCACGUAAUGGUGGGGACUCGUAGGAGACUGCCGGGGUCAACUCGGAGGAAGGUGGGGAUGACGUCAAGUCAUCAUGCCCCUUAUGUCUAGGGCUGCAAACACGCUACAAUGGCCGGUACAAAGGGCUGCGAACUCGCGAGAGUAAGCCAAUCCCACAAAGCCGGUCUCAGUUCGGAUUGGAGGCUGCAACUCGCCUCCAUGAAGCUGGAGUUGCUAGUAAUCCCGGAUCAGCACGCCGGGGUGAAUACGU